AUUGAACGCUGGCGGCAGGCCUAACACAUGCAAGUCGAACGAGUGGCGGACGGGUGAGUAAUGUCUGGGAAACUGCCUGAUGGAGGGGGAUAACUACUGGAAACGGUAGCUAAUACCGCAUACCAUCAGAUGUGCCCAGAUGGUUUUUGCUUGUUGGUGGGGUAACGGCUCACCAAGGCGACGCUCCCUAGCUGGUCUGAGAGGAUGACCAGCAACACUGGAACUUAGACACGGUCCAGAGUCCUACGGGAGGCAGCAGGGGGGAAUAUUGCACAAUGGGCGAAAGCCUGAUGCAGCCAUGCCGCGUGUAUGAAGAAGGCAUUCGGGUUGUAAAGGACUUGCAGCGGGGAGGCGGGAGACGAAGAAGAAGCACCGGCUAACUCCGUGCCAGCAGCCGCGGUAAUUG
rnacentral:rRNA from 1 species